rnacentral:rRNA from 1 species
UUUGUGGAACUAGGCGCGCGACAAGUAGGGCGGACGACGUGUAAUCCUGUCUGAAGAUGGGGGGACCAUCCUCCAAGGACUAAAUACUCGUGAUCGACCGAUAGUGAACCAGUACCGUGAGGGAAAGGCGAAAAGAACCCGGAGGGAGUGAAAUAGAUCCUGAAACCGCAUGCAUACAAACAGUGGGAGCCUCGCAAGGGGUGACUGCGUACCUUUUGUAUAAUGGGUCAGCGACUUACGUUCAGUUGCGAGCUUAACCGAAUAGGGGAGGCGUAGCGAAAGCGAGUCUGAACAGGGCGUUCAGUAGCUGGGCGUAGACCCGAAACCGGAUGAUCUAUCCAUGGCCAGGUUGAAGGUGCGGUAACACGCACUGGAGGACCGAACCCACUAGUGUUGCAAAACUAGGGGAUGAGCUGUGGAUAGGGGUGAAAAGGCUAAACAAAAUCCGGAGAUAGCUGGUUCUCCUCGAAAACUAUUUAGGUAGUGCCUCGUGUAUCACUCUCGGGGGUAGAGCACUGUAAUGGUUGGGGGGGUCAUCUAGACCU